ACCCCGGGAGGGGAGUGAAAUAGUACCUGAAACCGUUGGUUUACAAACAGUCAGAGAGUCGUUGUACCGUUCGCGGUGCAGCCUCGAUGGCGUGCCUUUUGAAGAAUGAGCCUACGAGUUACGGUAUGUGGCGAGGUUAACCCGAGAGGGGUAGCCGGAGCGAAAGCGAGUCUGAACAGGGCGUUCAGUCGCAUGCUGUAGACCCGAAGCCGAGUGAUCUUGCCAUGGUCAGGAUGAAGCGGGGGUAAGACCCCGUGGAGGACCGAACACACGUCAGUUGAAAAUGGCGGUGAUGAGCUGUGGUAAGGGGCGAAAGACCAAUCAAACUCGGCGAUAGCUGGUUCUCCUCGAAAUGCAUUUAGGUGCAGCGUCAUGCGUUCAGUGCCGGAGGUAGAGCACUGGAUGGGUUAGGGGGCCUACAAGCUUACCGACCCCAGCCAAACUCCGAAUUACGGCACUCCAGAGCAUGGCAGUGAGUCCAUGGGGGAUGAGCUUCAUUGGACGAAAGGGAAACAGCCCAGAUCAUCAGCUAAGGCCCCAAAUUCAGGACUAAGUGUAAAACGAUGUGAAAUUGCAUAGACAGCCAGGAGGUUGGCUUAGAAGCAGCCACCCUUGAAAGAGUGCGUAACAGCUCACUGGUCGAGUGAUUUUGCGCGGAUAAUUCAACGGGGCUCAAGUCCUGAGCCGAAGCUAUGGAUUGCACGUUCCUUCGGGAUCGUGCAGUGGUAGAGGAGCGUCGAUGCGACGGUGAAGCGGCGGGAUGACCCGGCGUGGAGUCGUAUCGAGUGAGAAUGUAGGUAUGAGUAGCGAAAGAGGGGUGAGAAACCCCUCCACCGAAAGCCCAAGGGUUCCUGGGGAAGGCUAAUCCUCCCAGGGUAAGUCGGGAGCUAAGGGGAGGCCGAGAGGCGUACCCGAUGCACAACUGGUUGAUAUUCCAGUACCGCCGUGUACACGUCAAGCCCAAUGUCGUCGAAGAGGGGGCUGCCUUCGGGCGAACCCUCGGAGAUGGCGGCGGGUAACUGAUGGGGGACACAGGAGGGUAGAUGAUCCGAGGCGAUGGUCGUCCUCGGGUAAGCGUGAAGGAGGUCGCCGAUGAAAGUCGGCGGCAACUCUGAGGCGCGAUGCCGAUCUCGUUCGAGAGAAGUCAUCGAUCCCACACUGUCGAGAAAAGCCCAGCAGUGAGUUGAUACGGCGCCCGUACCCCAAACCGACGCAGGUGGGCGCGCAGAGAAUGCGAAGGUGAUCGGGAGAACUGUGGUUAAGGAACUCGGCAAAUUGCCUCCGUAACUUCGGAAGAAGGAGGACCCAUUUGGGUGAAGGGACUUCGCGUCCCGGAGCUCGAGUGGGUGGCACAGGCCAGGGGGUAGCAACUGUUUAACAAAAACACAGCAGCGUGCUAAGUCGCAAGACGACGUAUACGCUGUGACGCCUGCCCAAUGCUGGAAGGUCACGAGGAGCGGUCAGCCGCAAGGCGAAGCUGCGAAUCUAAGCCCCAGUGAAUGGCGGCCGUAACUAUAACGGUCCUAAGGUAGCGAAAUUCCUUGUCGGGUAAGUUCCGACCUGCACGAAUGGCGUAAUGACUUCCCUACUGUCUCAACCGCAGACCCGGCGAAAUUGAAGUACGAGUAAAGAUGCUCGUUUGCUGCGGAAGGACGGAAAGACCCCAUGCACCUUUACUACAACUUGGUGCUGGGCUUCGACUUUGACUGUGUAGCUUAGGUGGGAGACGUUGAGGCGCGAGCGCUAGUUCGCGCGGAGUCAUCAGUGAAAUACCACCCUGCCAAAUUUGGAGCUCUAACCUUGGUCCGUGAUCCGGAUCAGGAACACCGCCAGGUGGGUAGUUUGACUGGGGCGGUCGCCUCCUAAAUUGUAACGGAGGCGCUCAAAGGUUCCCUCAGACUGGUUGGUAAUCAGUCGUCGAGUGUAAUGACACAAGGGAGCUUGACUGCGAGACCUACAAGUCGAGCAGGCACGAAAGUGGGACAUAGUGACCCGGCCAUUGCUUGUGGAAGCGUGGUCGCUCAACGGAUAAAAGGUACGCUGGGGAUAACAGGCUAAUCUUUCCCAAGAGUCCAUAUCGACGGAAAGGUUUGGCACCUCGAUGUCGGCUCAUCGCAUCCUGGGGCUGAAGCAGGUCCCAAGGGUUGGGCUGUUCGCCCAUUAAAGCGGUACGUGAGCUGGGUUCAGAACGUCGUGAGACAGUUCGGUCCCUAUCCUCCGCAGCCGCAGGAGUGUUGAGGAAAGCUGUCCCUAGUACGAGAGGACCGGGACGGACGUAGCUCUGGUGUGUCAGUUGUCCUGCCAAGGGCACGGCUGAUUAU
rnacentral:rRNA from 1 species